rnacentral:rRNA from 1 species
GAUGAACGCUAGCUACAGGCUUAACACAUGCAAGUCGAGGGGAAACGGCAUUAAGUGCUUGCACUUUUUGGACGUCGAUCGGCGCACGGGUGAGUAACGCGUAUCCAACCUUCCCAUGACUAAGGGAUAACCUGCCGAAAGGCAGACUAAUACCUUAUGGUCUUCACUGACGGCAUCAGAUGUGAAGUAAAGAUUUAUCGGUUAUGGAUGGGGAUGCGUCUGAUUAGCUUGUUGGCGGGGUAACGGCCCACCAAGGCAACGAUCAGUAGGGGUUCUGAGAGGAAGGUCCCCCACAUUGGAACUGAGACACGGUCCAAACUCCUACGGGAGGCAGCAGUGAGGAAUAUUGGUCAAUGGGCGAGAGCCUGAACCAGCCAAGUAGCGUGCAGGAUGACGGCCCUAUGGGUUGUAAACUGCUUUUGUAUGGGGAUAAAGUCAAUCACGUGUGAUUGUUUGCAGGUACCAUACGAAUAAGGACCGGCUAAUUCCGUG